CGUAACAAGGUCUCCGUUGGUGAACCAGCGGAGGGAUCAUUACCGAGUUUUCAACUCCCAAACCCUUAUGUGAACCUACCUAUCGUUGCUUCGGCGGACUCGCCCCAGCCGGACGCGGACUGGACCAGCGGCCGCCGGGGACCAUCAAACUCUUGUAUUAUCAGCAUCUUCUGAAUACGCCGCAAGGCAAAACAAAUAAAUUAAAACUUUCAACAACGGAUCUCUUGGCUCUGGCAUCGAUGAAGAACGCAGCGAAAUGCGAUAAGUAAUGUGAAUUGCAGAAUCCAGUGAAUCAUCGAAUCUUUGAACGCACAUUGCGCCCGCCAGCAUUCUGGCGGGCAUGCCUGUUCGAGCGUCAUUUCAACCCUCGACCUCCCUUUGGGGAAGUCGGCGUUGGGGACCGGCAGCACACCGCCGGCCCUGAAAUGGAGUGGCGGCCCGUCCGCGGCGACCUCUGCGUAGUAAACCAACUCGCACCGGAACCCCGACGUGGCCACGCCGUAAAACACCCAACUUCUGAACGUUGACCUCGAAUCAGGUAGGACUACCCGCUGAACUUAAGCAUAUCA
rnacentral:rRNA from 1 species